rnacentral:rRNA from 1 species
CGAGAAGACCCUGUGGAGCUUUAGACACCAGGACAGACUACGUUAAUAGUCCCCAAAUAAGGGAUUGAACAGAGUAGAUCCCUGCCCUAAUGUCUUUGGUUGGGGCGACCAAGG